CGUAGGGUCCAAGCGUUGUCCGGAUUUAUUGGGCGUAAAGAGCUCGUAGGCGGCUCUGUAAGUCGGAUGUGAAAACUCGGGGCUCAACCCCGAGACGCCAUCCGAUACUGCUGUGGCUUGAGUCUGGUAGGGGAACACGGAAUUCCUGGUGUAGCGGUGAAAUGCGCAGAUAUCAGGAGGAACACCGAUGGCGAAGGCAGUGUUCUGGGCCAGUACUGACGCUGAGGAGCGAAAGCGUGGGGAGCAAACAGGAUUAGAUACCCUGGUAGUCCACGCCGUAAACGUUGGGCACUAGGUGUGGGUUCCUAUCGACGGAAUCCGUGCCGUAGCUAACGCAUUAAGUGCCCCGCCUGGGGAGUACGGCCGCAAGGCUA
rnacentral:rRNA from 1 species